ACUCCUACGGGAGGCAGCAGUAAGGAAUAUUGGACAAUGGGCGAAAGCCUGAUCCAGCCAUCCCGCGUGCAGGAUGACGGCCCUAUGGGGUUGUAAACUGUCUUUUGUUUGAGAAGAAACGCCUGGAUUUAUCCGGGCCUGACGGUAUCUUACGAAUAAGCACCGGCUAACUCCGUGCCAGCAGCCGCGGUAAUACGGAGGGUGCAAGCGUUAUCCGGAAUCACUGGGUUUAAAGGGUGAGCAGGCGGAUAAAUAAGUCAGAGGUGAAAUCUUGCAGCUUAACUGUAAAACUGCCUUUGAUACUGUUUAUCUUGAAUUAGGUUGAGGUCAGCGGAAUGUGACAUGUAGCGGUGAAAUGCGGAGAUAUGUCAUAGAACACCAAUUGCGAAGGCAGCUGACUGGGCCUUAAUUGACGCUGAGUCACGAAAGCGUGGGAGCGAACAGGAUUAGAUACCCCUGGUAGACUGUCA
rnacentral:rRNA from 1 species